rnacentral:lncRNA from 1 species
UGGUGCCACAGAUGGGCCUGUGGCACCGCAUACUGCACAUCCAUGCUCAUCUGGACACACCGAUAUGGGACAGAAAGGAGAGCGUCAGAUCAGGCAGAGAGAAGGAAGCAGAAAAUACAGGGCAGGAAGCAAAAAAUAAAGCAGCAGAUGAGGAACGGAGCACAGAGCAGGAAGCAGAGCAGCAGACUGAACAAGGCAUUCAGCGAGGGCAGAACUUGUGGCAUAUCUGUCAAAAAGGUUGGAUACCACUGAUCUAGAGAAUAUGUGAAAGAAGGCCCUUUUGGGUGUUACAUUUUAUUGGACCGACUGUAUAGUUGAGAGAGAUCUUAGACAAGCUUUCAGGCAUAAAGCAAUCUUCCUCAGUUAACUGGCUUUAGUUGUUACAGCAUGAAUUUGGGAUCAAAGCUUUCUGCAAAAUCUAUUGGAUGCAGUAGGAGGCAGUGACCAAAGAUUUCUGAGUCCUACUAAAUGCUUUGGGGGAUAAGACUUCAACAUAUUUUUAAAACUUUGGAGAGGACACAGCAAAAGGUACUGGUGGAAUCACUGGAUCCCACAGCUCCAGAAGGAAGUUCCAGAAGAACUAUCCUUCAAAACAACUUUGCUUUUACGAAAAGGAGUAUGAGGUGUGGCAGAUCAGUCAGUCAGACAUCUGGAUGUGAAACUUUAAACAAUGUUCCUUGGAAGGUUGAACGGGAAUCCACUUGCAUAGGUCUAAUACCUCUGUAAUUCUAAUGAUGCAGCAUCUCUGAGAGUGUCUUUCUGAUGUAUUUUCUGCAAUCUUGCAAGCCUAUUUGUAAUAGGUUAUGCAUAAUCUUAAUCUUGACUGUAAUUAUUACUUUGUAAAUUUGUUAUUGCUCUUCUUUGUCAGUCUUUUCCAUGCAAAAUUUUGACCUGCUGUGGGUUGUUUUCCAGGCAAUACUAUUCCAUUCUCCUUUUUAAACUUUUGAGGGCAUUUACUUUUAAUUGUUCUGUUCCUUUGAUAAUUGGACUUUUCCUGUGUGCUCUUUAAUGUAGCUUGUGAUCUCUGUUUUUGCCCAAUUCCACUCCACUUGCUCCUGCUAAAUGCUUUAUAACUUCUUUGUCCAGCCUCAAAUUCCUGUCUCAGCAUGAAGUGAAGGGGCAUUCACCAUGCUGCUACACAAUGUUCUCUCCUUUCCUCAUGAAACAGGCUGAUAAAACACUCCUAGAAUCAGACUGAACCAAACAUCAAUUCUCCCAGAUAACAGGUUGCUUCUUUCUGCUUCACUAAGCCAAAACCAUGCAGGGAAAAUGAGGAAAAGAUAAGAAAAAGAGGUUCCCUAGUCAAACUCUAG